UUUUUUUUUUUCAGUCUUCCAGGUGCCUUUUUCAUUUGAAAUAUAAAAAAAUUUGCCCAAAUCUUUUUUCGCUUAUUAUACCAGGAGUUUUGUACAUAUCUGUCUGCAGUCUACAUUUUCAUUUACACAUGGAAUCAGGAGGGAUCAGUCAGCUGGGAAUAGAUGCGGGUGUUAAUUAUUUUGUUUUCCAAGUAAUUGUGCAAGCUGUCAUGAAUUAAGGAACACCAAGCUAGAGUGCUUACUUCAAUAUGAUUCUAAGCCUCCUGCAGCUAACCUUAGUGAAGACAUGAAAUGUUUUGCAUUACAUAAGGCUGCGUAGACUGCAACUUGGCAAAACCUGCCUUGGCUCUGUUUAGCUGGCAGAUAACCCUGUGAAUGGGUCCCAGUGGUACUGACACUGAUUCCUAGGUCAGGCUCUGUUCAUCUAUUAACCCACAAAGAGCAAGUCAGGUACUUUUGUAAGACUGUUCUAAUCAGAACAUUCUGUGUCUUUUAUUGUGGCAAUGUACACUGCUGAAGCUCUCUAUCUUCUCUGCUAACCAUGUUUCUUCAGUUAAGGGCGUAAGAUGAUUCUGCCUCUCAUGGCUGCAACUGUGGCCACCUAGAGGCUUGCAGUGUGGCCUGUGUUUCUGUAGCAACCUGUCAUUGCUUUGCAAAGUCACGUUGAGUGAGGAAUACAAAUCUCCUGAUAUCAUCCCAGAUGUGAGACAAUGAAUGACAUCCCAGUACCACCAACUCAAGCAAAGCAGAGUGCUGAGUGGAUAAGAAGAGGGAAAAAGAUUCUCCAGAAUUUGGAGCAGGACAUGAGAAAGCUUUAAGUGGAAAUGUAACCCCCUAAUGCAAUGAGAUGCCGGUAUUGCAUGAAGAGCCAUUAUCCACCAAAGACAUCCUUGCCUGGAGUUUUGUAUGUAGGAUCCUGUCAGUUGGCCACACUCUUUACCUGAACCAGGUGUUCCUGCUGCAGCCAAGAAUCAGUGAAGAUCUUUGAGUCUGCCUUUAAAAACAAAUGGUGGGGACAAAUAGAGGGAGUCUUUCUCAAAGAGUCUGUCCUUUCAAAAGAAGGCCACAGGCACAAAAACAGUUGGCACCCUUGCAAAAAAUGGACUCUUGAACUGGACAAGAUAUAUGGUUUGAGGUUUAGCAACUUAUUUAUUUCUCUCUUUGUAAAUACUGGUGCUAGGACACUAUCACCUACUCUGGUGUUUGCACUCCCACCUGCUGACAGACAAGGCGGAAAAGUGUGGCUCAAUCACAUCUUGUUCAGCAGAAUUCUACCAAAUACCAACCAGACAUGGUGGAAGUGGUUUAGCUACUGUUGUUCCCAGAAUUCAAAAGAAAAAGAAAACCAAGCAACAUGCUUGGUUGAUAAAAUUACACAAGAAAGUGUCAUUGCUGGUGCCUCAGCUCUCCAGGGUGUGUCCAGGGUGGCAUAAGCUUUUCACAUGGCCCCUAGUCUGCACUGGUUAAGCACGACACUGGUGGCUUCAUGUACAUGGGGAUUUUAUGAUUUCUGCCAUGGAAGGAGAAACCACAGUUUAUUUUGGAGGCUAAAGUGGGAAUUCUGAUAAUAAAAAGAAGGGCACGUAAAACCAAGCUGUUGCUUUUUAGGCCCAGCAACCCGUCUUAAUUAAAAUCUUUCAUCAUCCAAGCAGCUGUCACAGCUGUACCUGCCAUUAAGGCAGAGUUCAUCUUACCUCAUGGUGGCUUACUG